UUUAUUUUAUUUUACAGUUUUGCCUGCAUGUAUGUGCAUGUACCAUUUGUGUGAAGUACUCACAGAGACUAGGAGAGAGUGUUGGACUCCUUGGAGCUGGAGUUAGAUGGUUGUGAGCUGCCGUGUGGGUGGUUGGAAAUGAACCCAGGUCAUCUCCAAGAACAGCAAGUGCUCUAAACCUAAUUGUUGAUUCAUCUCUUCAGCUCCUAAAGUUUAUUGUGGGCUUUAGAGAGAUUAAUAAGCUCUGCUAGCAUCGUGUGAUCUUCCCAGCAAGGAUGGAGACCGAGACAGGAUUUCUGUGUGUCUGGGAUUCACCUUGAACGGCUCAUCCUCCUGUCUCCAGCAUUUGCAGGCAUACACCACCACAUACAGCCUUGGAUCAAUUUGUCUAGUGACCAGUUGCACAUUGAGCCACAGACAGGAUGAGAUGUUGGAGAUGCAACACUGAAGGAUUGGAAACUGGGAGGAACAAAACCCAAGCCAAGGAAUCUAAGUGGCUUCUGGAAACAGUGAUCUAGAAGAAAGCCACAGUCAUGUUGCAGACUGACUGAUUGGUUGGAACCCCGUGGUGGUGGUACAAAUUCUUCUCUCGCUGGCCUGGAGUUUGACAGACGGGCUAGCCUGGCUGGCUAGCAAGACCUGAGGAUCUGCAUGUCUCGGCCUUCCAAGCACUGUGAUCACAAGUGCAUGCCAUGACACACAGCUUUUAUACAUGGCUUCUGGGGACUGGACUCGGGGUCCCAUAACUGUAUGGCAAGUACUUUAAUGGCAGAGCAGUCUUCCCAGACCAUAACAUCCUUUUGACUAUCAGCUAGAAUCCUUCUGAUGUAUCAGCCUAGCAGAGCACUAGCUUCCAUCAACCCCAAAGCUAAGUGUGUGGCCAGAUAACAUUUGAGACUUAUAAUAGGCUUCCUGGUUUUGCUAUGACUCACCUACUCAGUGAUCCGCCCAUGUACAUGAAAGAUGCUUUAUUUUAUUCUGUAACUCUAAAAAUAUCAUAAAUCAGAUCCACAUUGGAGCAUGUUGUUGGGGGGUGGUAACCCAAACCUGUGUUCCCGGGCCAUGUCCACCCAUAUUUGGCUCAAGAAUAAACUCUUAUUUCCUCUGA